GGCUCGGCGGACAGGGCAGAUCUGUCGGGAGGGAGCGGCGGGGGCGGGGGGGCUGCAUCCUGCCGCGCUAGGAGCGGUUCGUCAUACGUGCCGGCGUUUGAAAGGGAUUAACGUGGAUUUGGGGGCGGCGAUCGGCGCUCUUAGCCGGGGAGAGCUGUGGUCACGCUGCAGGAAAACGAGGACGUCAUUGCUUAUGACUUGUUUGUAUUUGCAGGCUUGACCCCAUGUGAAGAAGCUGUUCUUGAGAGCCUGGCAUUGAUUUGGGGUCAUCAAGUCCAGCCUCCCUCUUUUUCGUCUCCUGCCUGCAUCAGACUCCUCUGAUUUGUGACUCCAGUUUUAUGGCCUCAAAGAAAACCAUAAGCUAGCCUUGAGAAGAAGUUGCAUACUGGAAAUGGGACAUCAUACCCUUCAGCACAGUACCUGCACUAGCUGAAGCAUCUGUAAUCUCAUGGAAGUCCACACUAUGCUUCAUAAACAUGCCCCUCUCUGACAUGGUUCUGCUGAAAUUGGUGGAGUGACGCAUACCAGUAAGGUCUGUCUGCACAUACAGAAUGUGUAGGAGCAGUUCCUAACGCAAAUGUUCACGAAUCCUGUGGUGAAAGAAGCAUUAUAAAUAUAUUUCAAGCAAUACAAAUACAGGGAACAGAUUUGAUAAUUGCUGUGGCCAUUUGAUUACUCAUGACUGACAUUUUGAGUAGAAAAGAUGCCAGUAUAAUCUUGUCUCUCAUUUCUGUCAUUACUGGUGCCGUAUACUGUGAAGGUUUUGAGAAACUCAUAAAACCAGAUACUUCUUUUCAUCUCUGUUUCUUAGUGAUGAUGCUUUUGAAUCAUGUUGGUAAAUACAAAUAGAAGCAGCAUCAAUAGUUUUGAUAAAUGCAAGCUGUUCACUCAAAUGCCUCCAUACCAUUUAUGGUACUCAUUCCUGGGCAAAGGACAGUGCAAAGCCUAAAGAUCUCUUAGGCCCCUUUUGAAUCCUGCUCUGAAACUUACGUGUCACAGCACACUUGUUGACUCCAUGGACAGGAAGGAAAGCAUCUUUUUUGUGUAUGUUUUAUGGAGUUUCAUUAAAUAUAUUUUAGUUAUCAUUAUUACAGUGUGUGAAGCACUGCAAGUGUCAGUACAGAUGAAAAAAUGGCACAGAUCCUCCUUCCAUAUUAAAGGGUUUUCUCCUUGGUAGUCAAUUGCCAACUACCGGCUGUAGUAGUAGAAUGGCUGCAGGAACCGUGACACACCAAACAUGCUUCAACCUGCAAGACAUUUUCAGCAGAAGUACAUACAAUGAUCAUGGGAUAAACCCACCUUCUAAUUUCCGUGUUAGUUUUUCAACUCUGAAAGUCUAUUUGAAGUAAUUUUUUUACAUUUUCAGCCAUGUUUCUGUUCAGUGCUGAGCAAGAUUUGGCAGCACCCUGCAUCAUUCUAAUUCAUUCUAGCUAUUCUGUGAAAGUUAAAUGCAAUUAUGAAAAUAAAAAUGAUUUUUGAUCCUUCAGUGAGGUCAGGUUAGAGCCCUUCCUUGUAUUACAAAAAUGAUGCUUUACUACUAAUUUCUAAUGAGAGAAUAAUACAAGUAUCAGCAAUGCAAGCUUCACAACACAUCAGUGCAGCAGCAAGAAAAAGCCUGCCUGCCUCUGCUGACUUCUGGAUAUUGUUUAUCCAAUUUUCUUUGAUACACAUUUUGAUAACACUUUGAAAUAUACCAUACUUAAAUAAUGUGGUAUGUAAAAAUGGACAAGCUGGGCUCCACAAAUAAGCUCCGUUUCCAGACUAAAGCUGUUUGUCAUGAUUCAGUGAAAUUAUGAUAAAGCCUUAUGCAGUGUAAAUCUUAUGUCAACCAGGGCAUUUUAGUCUUUGUUUUAAGUUAAGUUCUGCAACUUUAGGGAAAAGAUCAUGUACAGACCAUCUUAUUCCAGACUAAUGUAUUGGCUCACCAGCUGUAUUCUAUGAUGUUUUGAGCUGCCUCACAACCUGGCCUUUACUUUCUGAUCUUUACAACUCCAUUUGCUAUUUCCCUCUUUAAGUACUAGUGUGCCUGCUUCUUUACACAUGAAUAUGUCACUGGUCAUCAUCCCAACUUCUUGCCUGUCAACCUUUUGCAAAUAUGCCUCGUUAGUCUUGCAAAAUAUUUUCUUGUGACUUCUGCAGUUGGUAGUCUGUUACCAGGAUGCGCAUAAGCAUAUUGCAAGGCAAUGGCAGCAGCUCACCAGCAUGACUCAGUACAAUGCUGCACAGGCAAAGGAUUUAAAAGUGGUUUAUAAACAAAGCAAAACCAUCAGCCUCCAUCUGGUCACGAAGCAAGUCACUUCCUGUUCCUCCGAGUACAAAAUCUUGGCAGGAGAUGCCAGCACUGUUUGGAACAUACAGGAGACAAUCUACAUGGUCAUUCUAAAGUUCCUCCCCACCAAGGUCAUCACGUUAGAGAUUCUCCUUUAAAAAGAUCCCAUCAGCCAAAAAGUUCUUGCUUCCAAGAUCCUCAGUGAGCUCACCUGGCCCAGAGAAGAGCGAGCCUUGGCUCAGACAGAGAGAAUGAGGCUUCUGUCAGCAACUGAUGCAACUGAGAAUCCCAGACUUGCACAGCUUUUCUCUAGACCCAGAAUAACUAUCCACAAGGUUUAAGUGCCUCAGCAGUACUAUAUCCUGGAUCAUACUCUGCAUAUGAUCAUCUUAGUUUUAUUUUUUUGUCAGCUUUUUUUUAUGCUCCUUGUGUUCCUGAAAUAAUAGGUAAUGGCUAUUCAACAUGUGAACAAUACUGGAUGCGUCCCAGUCCGAAUAUCACAAUGUGGAAACUUCUCCGAAUUUAUGGGGUGAGCUGGUCCUGCACAGGACUGUGAGCUGUGUGCUGUGCAGCUGGCUUAGGGGGAAAAUCUGUUACGUGGAAAUAAUGAACCAUGUUGAGUGGCUUUUUGCAUGCAAUUAUAUCAAACUGAUACCUCCAGACUCCUACUUUAAUGCUUGCUUGUUCAAAAUAAACCUGCUCACAAUCCUAAAUUACAUACAUUGCCCAGGAUUGGGAAAAUAUGCUUAAACUGAACGGAAUCUAGAAGAGAACCUAAUUGCAAGGGAGGAUUUAGAGACAUCUAAGUAAAAAAAUGUCAUUAGAUUAUUAUCUCUAUACUGAACCCCGUAACCAUGGACUUUUCAAUUGACAUUUGGACCAAAAAGUUAUACCUUGGUAGAAUAUAAAACCUUUUUAUUGUACUGGUACGCUGACUAAGUGUUGAUCCUGAUGAAAAUGAGCAGUCAGAAAUAGUUGAAGUAGCACUUAAGUGUUCCUAUAGCUGAAAUAUUUGGUGAGUCCAACUCUAGAUUAAGUGCAGUGUGAGUUAAAAAGGAAUUCUCAAAAGACAGAACCAAAAGUUCUCAAGUAAACUUUUGUCUCUUUGCAGCAACAAAGGCAAAGAUGGGUAAUCAGUUUAUGAAACAGAACAACAGACAAGAGAAACAAAAAGGAGUACCUGGGAAGAAAUUCUAAGAGAUAGCUGUGGAAAAAGGAUCUAACCUUACCUCUAAUUACAGCUGAAAGAAAUAAUAGAAAAUAUGUUUUGUAAGAAAAUUUAGUAUUUAUCUUCAUAUCAAUUAUUAUACAAAUGUUCACAUACUUCAGUAAUUUUGUGUAAGUGAAUAAUUCCGUUGGGUUCUCUGAUGAGUUUAUUAGUGCCAUCUACCCUGCUAAAUCUAAAUCAACUAAAUCACUUGCACUUAAAAAACUAAAAACCGUGAAGCAACAGCGUAUCCCUUUUACCUUCAUUGAUGGUAAAAGUGCAAACCAUAGGAAGAGAUGAGAUUUGAAGUUCUGUGACAACUUUUUACUUGUAUUUCACAUUUUUAAAAAAAACACACCACGAGGGUAUUCUGUUUUUGUUGUUACAGACCAUGGCAUACUCUGCUUUUGGUUUCUGGGUGUGUAAAAUAAAGACACUGAAAAUGACAUUCAACUAUAUACUCUUGUAAUGGGCACACUGAAGUAGACUUUACAGUAGCUCCCACACUAAGCUUUUAAUUUGAACACAGGAAUGUUGCCUCUCAAGGCAAGAAAGAAUGGUGACAUUCUUCUCAUCUGCUCUUUGAAAGAACUUUCUUCCACAGUUAUAAACACUGUCACGAAAAUGCCCAUGGAUUGGGAAAAAGGUACUGGGUACGCAAAGGGCUUAAGACUGCUGAGUGUAGAGCAGUGACUAAGGAAAGAGGAGCUCAUAGGAGCUCUGCGAGUUGCCCACAGGAUAGGAGUUACGACGGAAAGCCAUAGCAUUCAGAAAUAACUCGUGCUUGCACAGAGAUGGAUGGUGGCUGAUGGUGGCCAAUGACCUCACUGUGCAAAACUGCCAAGUGUCAUGUCACAGGGUAAUAAAUAUGCUAUUGAUUUUGUUGAUUUCUCUUGCUAAAGUUUCACCUCCAAAUGAGCAGGCAAUUGUAGAGCAAAACCAAUUAAUAACAACAGACCUUCACCUAGCUUUAUCCAAAACCUGUUCACAAGAAUCUGUGAUUUUUUUUUUUGCCAUUGAUGAGUGUAAACAAGAAUGAUGGAUACAAACCCUGGCCUUCGAUCCAAAGCCUACAGCCGAGGCCUCUAAUUCUAAUGAAAAAUUGUGAAUUGGACUGGGCAGUCUUAUUAGCUGUGUGAAUCUAUCACUGAAUUGGAUGCAGUUUCAAAGUAAUAAUGAAACCUGCCAAGGUUUGCAAACACUUAAUGAAAUAGCCACAUAAUGCAUACCACUUUCUUAUUUGCUGGGAAACAAUUAAGCUUUGUUUUGACAAAAUGGUUGUUGAUUUGUUUAUAUUUGUCUAGAAGUAAUGUAAAGUUGUGCUCAGAAAUCUAUUUUGCUAUAUAUUUUUGUGUCAAGCUGCUGCUAAAUGUCAGUUUCUGCAUGCCCAAGAAAUUGCCUGAUGGGCCAAUUUACUGGCAAAGGACUUAGGGUUAAGUAUAAGUCUGGAUUGUAACAGGAACUAAACCUCAAGCUUGUAUCUCAGAAAUAAUCUUUCUGUCUCUAUACUAUUACCUGCCUACACAUUCUCUUCUACAUGGGUAAAAAAUUAACAGUGUUAUCCUACUUACGUCAGCAUUAUAUUAGAUGUCUUAGUGAUAAGGAAACAACCUAGUGACUUCAGAAAAAAUGUUUUGUAACUUUCCCUUUACAUUCUAAUUCUAUUAUAUUUAUGUAUAUUAUAACAGUAAAUAUUCUUAUAUUUAUGAUUUUUGGACUUUAAACCAACAGGAAGUACACAUGUCUUCAUAGGCCGAUUUUGUUUAUGAUUCUUCUUAUCAACUUAAUAUUCCUUUAUCUCAUUCCAGAAGUGUGUGAGAUGCCCCCCACCACCCUUGAGAUUGUUGUAUGAUUCCAAUGUUGGGCUUUUAAAACUGUUUCGGGAGGGGAGAGCUACACUACAUUCAGCAGUGAUGAGUAGUGACUUCAUUCACAAGAAAUGAAAAUAAACUCACCUGCUUAAUUUUUAGCUCUACUUUUUUGUUAAGAAAUUUCAGUAUCUGGCAAUGGAAAAAUUGGUAUUGGAAAUUCUGGCAGCAAAGUAUUGUUUAUUUAAAAAUAAAAAUCUGUCCACUGAAA